GCAGGCGAGAAAACUCCACAAUGCGCGUAAGCGUGAUGGGGGGAAUCUGAGCGGUUGACUUCGGUCAACCUUUUGCCAAGUGUAGCAGGCUUGGCGAAUAAGUGCUGGGCAAGACCGGUGGCAGCCGCCACGGUAAUACCGGCAGCACAAGUGGUGUCCACGAUUAUUGGGCUUAAAGCGCUCGUAGCUGGCCGAUGCCGUCUCAUGUGAAAUAUUGGCGCUCAACGCCAAUGCGUGCAUGAGAUACCCAUCGGCUUGGGAGCGGGUGAGGUCAGGAGUACUUACGGGGGAGGGGUAAAAUCCUGUAAUCCUGUAAGGACUAACGGUGGCGAAGGCGCCUGACUAGAACGCAUCCGACAGUGAGGAGCGAAGGCUAGGAGAACGAAUCGGAUUAGAUACCCCCGUAGUCC
rnacentral:rRNA from 1 species